rnacentral:rRNA from 1 species
GACGCCCGCUGGCGGCGUGCCUAAUACAUGCAAGUAGAACGAGUUGCGAACGGGUGAGUAACGCGUGGUAACCUGCCUCAUAGCGGGGGAUAAAUACUGGAAACGGUAGCUAAUACCGCAUAACAUCAGAUGUGCCCAGAUGGGAUUAGCGUGUUGGUGGGGUACCGGCUCACCAAGGCGACGAUCCCUAGCUGGUCUGAGAGGAUGACCAGCCACACUGGAACUGAGACACGGUCCAGACUCCUACGGGAGGCAGCAGUGGGGAAUAUUGCACAAUGGGCGCAAGCCUGAUGCAGCCAUGCCGCGUGUAUGAAGAAGGCCUUCGGGUUGUAAAGUACUUUCAGCGGGGAGGCGUUACCCGCAGAAGAAGCACCGGCUAACUCCGUGCCAGCAGCCGCGGUAAUAC